rnacentral:rRNA from 1 species
GAUGAACGCUGGCGGCGUGCCUAAUACAUGCAAGUCGAGCGAACGGACGAGAAGCUUGCUUCUCUGAUGUUAGCGGCGGACGGGUGAGUAACACGUGGAUAACCUACCUAUAAGACUGGGAUAACUUCGGGAAACCGGAGCUAAUACCGGAUAAUAUUUUGAACCGAAUGGUUCAUAAGUGAAAGACGGUCUUGCUGUCACUUAUAGAUGGAUCCGCGCUGCAUUAGCUAGUUGGUAAGGUAACGGCUUACCAAGGCAACGAUGCAUAGCCGACCUGAGAGGGUGAGAGGCCACACUGGAACUGAGAGACGGUACAGACUACUACGGGAGGCAGCAGUAGGGAAUAUUCCGCAAUGGGAGAAAGCCUGACGGAGAAACGCCGCGUGAGUGAUGAAGGUCUUCGGAUCGUAAAACUCUGUUAUUAGGGAAGAACAUAUGUGUAAGUAACUGUGCACAUCUUGACGGUACCUAAUCAGAAAGCCACGGCUAACUACGUG